CCUCGGUCGCCGGCUGCUCCCCACUUGUGAGAAACGGAAGUCACACUAGAGUAACUGGGAAAACAUCCCUGCGUCAGCUCCGCAGACAAGUGCUCUGCCCCCAGGAGCUGGGAGUCAGCAGGCGCCUUCCAGGCAGACCCUCACCCACUUCCGCUCCUCCCACCCCGCAAAAGCAGGGGCUGGAGGAGAGAAUCCACGUAACCCUCGCCCGAAAACCAACCCCCUCUCCCGCCGGGCCUUGUCUCCCUGGGAGCUGGCAGAGGCCCAUGACAGGGGCAUCAGACAGACGUACAGGGCCACGAACAGAGCAGGAUCGUGAGACAUGUACGAAUUCCAGAGGAAAUUAACCAUUUCUCACCCCAGCCUUUAACCACGAGAACUGCUCCUGGCCGCUGUAAGGCUGGGUGGCACACUUUGGAACAGAGGACAGUCAGAGACCGAGGCUGGCAGUUGUAUCCAAAUAAUCACUUUCUCGGCAGCAUGGCACAAGACAACAAUACUACACCACAUUUGGAAGAUGUCUUUACAACCACAAGAGGAAAGAGUGCUAGUGCAAUCCUGGCAUACAACAGCCCUUGUCAUGUAAAGCUAUAAUACAAUCACAGGUUUUUGCAUCAUAGAAUCAAAGAAUAUCAGGGUUGGAAGGGACCUCAGGAGGUCAUCUAGUCCAACCUCCUGCUCAAAGCAGGACCAAUCCCCAAUUUUUGCCCCACAUCCCUAAAUGGUCCCCUCAAGAAUUGAACUCACAACCCUGGGUUUAGCAGGCCAAUGCUCAUUUCAAACACCAUUGUAAAUGUAUCACCUCCACCACCAUAUCCCUAACUACAACAUUCCUUAUGUAAAAGGUUGUAUUUCAGAGUUAUUAGUGUUCUACAGAAAAAAAGAUACUUACUAUUCUGCUCCUCACCAAGGGCAACCAAUGUUUCAAGGACUUUAAUUCCUUCCUGGACUGCUAAAAGCUCUGUGUUGCUGUUUGGACGAUUACUUUCUACAGCUUUCAGUUUCUCAACCAUUAUUGGUGCCAAUGAAUGGAUGUACGGAGUUGACAGGGCACGGUUGGUGUGUUGGAAUACAGAAAGUAGAAGCUGAUAACACUUGGCUUGAACCUAAUCAAGAUAAGUACAUUUUAUUGAUUUGUAUAUUGGCUUGGCGGUUGGCAAUACAAUCCAUCAUAUAUUUGUGUGAACAUAAAAAUGCUUGGAGGAAAUAAAGGAAAAAGACCACUGAAAUUGGCGGAAAACAGCAAAAGACUAACAGCUGGCUCAGCUGCUAAAAAUACUGUUACUCAGUUUUCAAUACAAGAAAAAGGAGUGCAACUAGGAAACAAAUGCAGGAAACAAUAGAGCAAUGAUUAAGUGAAGCUAGGUAGGAUAGGAAAGUUAAAGAAUAGUUAACAACAUACUAAUCAGCCAUAUGGGAUGCAUUCUAGAGUCCACAGGGAGCUGACUCCAUAAACAACAACUACUAGCAAUAACACUGGAUGUAUCUGAGGAGUCAUUUGAAGUUCCCUUCCAAUUCCACAAAGGCAAAGGGGUCCCCACAGCCUAAAAAAAAGUAUUAGAGUAGAUUAAGGUAAUUACAAAACAUAGGUCAUGGAAAACUAAGUUGAUGUCCUUUAUAUUCUAAAAUGGUGUCAAUAAGGAGAACUCAGUGAAUGUAUUUGAUUUGGCAUUUAAAAGGGAUUUUUCCAAAAUACUACAUAGGAAUCUCAGACAAAUUGGAGAGAUAUGGCCUUGAAUACCAUAUGAUAAUCCAAAACGGAGGCUACGAAGUUGGACAUAUUUAUAACACCUCAUAGGGUCAGUUAUCAAGCAGUCCCCCCUAAGGGACUUUGAGCUGUAUUAUUCAAUGUAUUAAUGACCUGUGAGAAGAUCAAUCUGACACUGAUCACAUUUUGGGGUGCAGAAAACUUGGAAGUAUAGAUAAGAUUACAAAUUAAAAUUAUAGAUUGUAGAUUCAUAGAAAGUAAGGAUGAAAGAGACCUAUUAGGUUACCUGGUUUAUCUUGCUAUCCAUGCAGGAUUAAUUCCUUGCAACGGAUUUGAUAGUGCUCUGUAUAAUUGAGAUUUGGAGGUCCCCAGUGUGUUGGAGCUUCCUCAACUUCCAUUUGGAUGCUGUCUAAAAUUUCCAUCUCAGAACAUUUUUCCUGAUAUUCAGCCUAAAUUCUGGGACCAGUUUCAACUGGUUACUUCAAUUUGUACUCCCGUACCACUAUAAAUAAUAUUCUUCCAUCCUUGUUGUUUUGACUCUUCAAAUUCUUGAAGUGACUUACCACACACCCUUUCAUUAGCUUUUGUUUAAACUGCACAUAUUUAAGAACAAAAUCUUCACAUUUGCAGGUAGAAGCUUUCAUAGACUUCAGCAGGACCCCUAUGACAGCUUUUGAUAGCAGAAUUUGGUCCACAGUUCUUUUAAUCUAUUCUCAAAUGUAGAAUUUGUGCAGAUCCUACACUCACUGAAGUCAAUGACAAAGCUUCCAUUAACUCUAAUGGUGCAGGAUCAGGGCCUGAAUCCACUUUGGAGUCUGUAGAGCUCUUUCUGAGAUCAAAGGUUCCCAGAAUGGAAUGAAGGGACAAAGGCUUCUUAGCUGAGAGCUCUUGAUUCUGCAAUUCACUUCUGUUUGUCCAACAAAGCCUGAGUUUCCUAAUGGAAGGGUAUAAUAUAAAGCAUAGCUAUCCGUUCAGGCUUUUGCCUGAGGCUGUUGUUUCAGUGGUGGAGCACUAGUCUUUGGUGGUACGAGUAUUUUUAAAGAAUUCUCUAUUUUAUGUCAUUUCAGCGUAUUUUUAAAUGUAUGUCCGUUUAUCAUUAAUGUGUGCCCACCUAGGAGCUGCUGUAGUUGUCAUUUUAUAUAUUGAAAAAAUAAAAUAAAUAAUACAAUGCAAUCCAGAGUAUAUUUCCCUUGUGUACAUACAAAACAAAGUAUGGACACAGUAUGGCUGAUAUUACGCUGCUCUCUGUUACCAAAACUGUGCUAGGAGAGUGUUCAUUACUGGCUAGAUGAGAAAGGCAGAGAACUUCCUUAAAAACGGAGGAGAGAAAUGAACUUCUCCUGUUGUCAGUCUCUGUACAGAGCUAAAUAGGGAUAGAUGUAAAGGCUCCUUCUCAGCACACUAGACACUUCCCUCUCCAUUGUCUCUAUCAAGAGCUCCUGUAGGUGUGACUAUUGAACUAGAAGAAGAGACAUGGUCUCAAACUGUUUCCCACCUUAAGAACUCCAGCAAGUCAAGCUUUUGUAAACUGCUGAACAGUGACAGAGCAUAAGACCUCAGUUCAAUCUGGAAACAGAUGACUCCACUGCAGAGAAGGACUCUCAGGUGGACUAGAGUUCUAAAUGCCUAAAUAUGGCAUGCUUUUUUUUAUAUUUUUCUCUUCAGGAAAUCUCUGAAUGCCUGUGUGAGGGAAACAUUAUAUAGAAAACCUACAGGAAAACCCCAAGAACAGUAGAGAAAACAGAGGAAGAAGUUUAGACCUACAUCAAAAAAUAAAGUUUGGAGAUAACAAUUCAUCUAUAUAACUGGAUUGGGGGGGGAGGGAGAGGGAGCAAAGAACUGGCCUAUAUAAGGCAGUUCUUUCUUAAACAUGGACAGAAUUUUCUCCUCCCGCGCCCACUCCCCUAAAGAAGGAGCACAGGGAAAGUAGUUCUCUUUUAGAUAUCUUGUCAUUACUCAGAGAGCUUGGAGAAGGGACACUAUAACAUGGUAAGUUACCACUGCCAACCUUUAACCUUUAUAACCAAUCCUAGUCUGCUCAGUGCAGCCCUGGCUUAGGUAAGAGAAGAAUUGGUGAUCAUUUUCUUUAUAUCAUCUCCCUUUACUUCCUCUAGUCUCUCUCUCUUCAUUGUUCCUUUCAAGCAAAUAGUAUUCAGUUUAAGUGCAACUGUAAAUUGGAUGUGACAGAUAAUAUUGUGUGAAUUGUUAACUGUCUCUCUCUGGUGAUGAGAAAAUCUCUACCUGUGGGGGAGGAAGAGCAAACAGGUGGAGUCCAUGAAACAAGAAGUCACAAAAAGGGGCCCUGGGGAGGCUUCAGUCCCUAACCCAACAAUUUCUCCAACUGGUGAACAGGUAUCUGUCCUGGCAUAAAGUGAGUUCUCUGACUUUGGGACUACAAGACCUUCUGUUACACAUGAGUUUGGGAAACAUUCUUUCACCUAAAAUUACACUUUGUAAGCUCCUAUCUGCACAUCUGUAUAAUUGCUCCAACAAACUGAUUUCUACAUGGCAAUUAUGUUUCACUUCAUGCUAACUGAGCAUGUCUGAGCCAAGUCAGGCUACAAUUUAUCGCUUUUGCAAUGGACUAGUUGAAAAGAUAAUUUAAAGAGAAGACAAAACAAAAAGCAUAAAUGAGUUUGCGACAAAUAAGUAACCAUUUUCAGAGGACUUCUGAAAUGAUAUGCACGUGCAAAUCAGAUAACUGUAUCCCUGAACUGCACACUCAAAAUGGGUUUUCAUAGAAUCAUAGGGUUGGAAGGGACCUCAGGAGGUCAUCUAGUCCAACCCCCUGCUCAAAGCAGGACCAAUCCCCAAUUUUUGCUCCAGAUCCCUAAAUGGCCCCCUCAAGGAUUGAAGUCACAACCCUGGGUUUAGCAGGCCAAUGCUCAAACCACUGAGCUAUCCCUCCCCCAUGUAAGUAACAAACACAAAUUUUGUACAUAUAUAAGUAGGAGAAUCACAGCAAAUUUGGGCCUUAAUCUUUAUCUAUGGAAACAGGAGUUUGAGUAGCAUUAUGAGGAAGUAGUAUUAAAUAAACCAGAGAAAGUCUAGAUUUUUUUGGCCCAGUGGUCUUUUCCUUCCUAAAAUUUCUUAUAUUAACAAAGAUGUAACUUUUAUAAAUCCAUAUAAAUCAAGAAUUUGGCACAAGUAACUUGAAAAUCCUACUUCAGAAGUGCCAAGUUUUGUUAUAAUUGCCAUUGAGGCAAUAGUUGUGAUGAUUAAUUUGUUAAUCUGACAAGCAGGAUCUGGUUACUUUUUGAAGUGAAGAAAUUAUAGAUUUCAGAAAAUGUAACAUUAUUCCUAGUUACUUUAUGUCAACCAUUUAAAAUAUUGUGCACGCUUCCACAUGAUGAGCUUACCCAAGGAUCGCAGGAAUUCAAUGCAUUUUUAAAUCUGUUAAUGCAGCCGUUCUGUAAGGACAGCACUCCAAUUAUUUCUGUACUUGCAGACCAAAGGAAAAGAGCAAUCGCUGUAAGCAUGCUUACUUCAUCAAGAAUAGACUUGGUGCCCUCUGAAAAACAAAAAGAAAAGGCUGAGCUUAUUGUGAAAAGGUUUUAGAGUUUGUUUAGUAAAUCCUAAUGUACUAGAAUAAUUCACAACAAAGAGAUAUACUUGAAAAGACUUCAAUUACACUCAAAUACGUGCCUAUUCACCACUACCAGAGUCACAUUUUAACUAUUAGUGGUAGUGACUGAUAUAGUUGAGAUUGUUUAAGGUGAUUAACUCUAGUCUAAUCCUCUCUUUUAAACUGCUUAAAACUUCCUGAAAUUUCCACCUAUGCAGCCAAAAUUAUUCAUGCUUGGUCUCUAACCACAGAUAUAUUUUUAUUGUUUUUAAAGUUUUAGCAAAUACAACUAUGCUAUUUUUGAGCAGAAAGAUGGUGGAAAAAACAUUAUGCUGUCCCCAUUACAACCAAGUCUCUUGCAAACCCUUUCAAAACAGCCUCUACAGCUGAAAUGGUUGGGAUGUAAAAACCUAAAAUCUAGUAUGGGAAUAGCCUGCACUAAGGAGAAGGGUUCUUGAGUGUUCUGCUGAAAAUCAUUUAUGAUUUGACGGUGUUAAUAAGCCUGUGAAAAUCACACCGUCCAUUUUGCUAAACUGGUGAAGUGUGCAACUUCAUUCUGUCCUGAAAAGUGAACUGAAGGCAUGCAAACCCUUGCACCUUGCAAGGAGUUAAAUGAAAUCUCCUAAAGUCCACAAAAGGUCUACAAUAAGCGUCAGUGGUGCUUGUGGAAAUGGGGGCUUGAAGGCCCUUGAGCCAAGGUGAAGUUGGAAGAGAGAAGUUUGAUGAAACGUAAUUAAAGAGGCCACUGAAAAUUAAUAUGGGUUUGGCCUGGAAAACUUAAUCCAAUUAUUGUUUCUGCUCAACGAUCCUAAAGGAUGGCAUUGUGUAAUUACUCUUUUGUCCCUUCAGAUUUCACAUGACCACUUCUGCCAACUCUUCCCACCCCGCUCUCCCGUUCUAUCUAUAUUUCAGGCUAUUUGGGGGUGUAGUGAGAUCGUUUUGGCCGAGAUACUUGCGGGCAGAGAAGACGCUUGGAUCAGAGGAAGCUGGUUGAAGUCAGUGCAGACAAGAUGGAGAUGCUGCUGUAAUCUUGAGCUGCUCUCACUAUCUGCUGGACAACUCCUGUAACUAGCAGCUGGACUGAAGGAGGAUCCCAGGUCAAUAAGAGUCGAUGCAGCACACUCAGAAGUUCAACACCAAGGAGCUAGAAUAAAUUAAAGUAUUUUUUUAAAUGUAAAUUAAAAGUGAAUGAUUCACAGACCCCUAAUUAUCAGCAAAAAUGGUUUCCAGUUAAUCUACUGUUAUUCUUAGCCAUAGAAUAUUUUUUCUCAGUUUUAAAAAGCACAAUUUCUUUGGUACACACUAUGCAUGCAAACUGUGGUUUAGGAGGUUUACACUUGAGAAACACAAAGGAUUGCUUGUCGGAUUGUUCUUUCGUUUCUGUUUUAAUGGUAAGAUUUAAAAGGAGAAAUUUUUUUAAAAAUGGGCAAGUGUGCCAAUACACAAGCCUAAUGGUAUUAAAUGGAUGUAUUUGGUUGAGUUUUGCAAUUUACUGUCUUUUUUUUUUUUUAAAACAAUAUAUUUUUUCACCUCAGCUGCUUGAAAACUAAUGUAGUCUGCUGGGGAAUGUGGAGGGAAAGCCUCCCAUGGCCAAAGUAACCAACCACACACACAGGAGCUUAACUUUGCCCAAUUUAUGAAAAAAGAAAAAAUUGGAUCAUUCUGAAAAACAACAAAAAUAUUUUGAAUUUGCCUACAUUUCAGUAACGUUUUUUUCCUCUAGUUUUGGACCAGCUCUAAUUUUCAGGGAUGAGGAAGUAAAUAGAAUACAGAUUAAUCACUGAACACUUACACACACACACGCAUCUAAAAACAGAAUAAGCCACUGAGAUUCAAACAUCAGUAACAUAUUAUUAGGCCUAUUUACUAUACCUGAUCCUCUGCAAUAUGAAUUCUAGCACAAGGGGAAUCCAGUAAAGUAUGCAGUGCUUGUAAACAAGACGUGACAUGUUCAACAGGCUCCUCAGGCCUGGGGGAACAGAGGAAUUGUAUACUAACACCUGAAAAGAAACACACACAAAAAAUCUCAUUUCUAUACCAAUAUAAUAAGGGUUGUUUUUAUAACAUAUUUAAGUAUUUAAACGAUGCGGAAGUUGGGAUUGUUUGAGGAUUUUUUAAAACACAAAAGUUAUACUCGUUUUAUUUUUGCUAUUGAGAGAUAUUCUUUGUAUUAAUAUGUAUGCCAAACCAGUCACUUUUUCCCAGAAAAACCAAUAUUGAGAUAGUAAAUAAUCAUGGUCACUAACCUACAGAUCUGUAAAGGAAACUAAUUUUUGGUCAUUUGCUUUUGCAAAUCUGUAAAUUAAAAAUCUGCCACUUUUAA